UCUUUGAAGGAUUGAGCUCCGGUGUGAUUGUGGAAUCCCUGAAGGUGGUUAGCUUGCAAGGAUUUGCCUCAAUUUUGGAGCCUAACCUCUGCAGAAUUGUAUCAUUUAAUUGUGAAAGAAAGCUUUGGAGGAGAACAUAAUUGUGUAUCUGGAAACUGGUUGUGGAAAGACCUAAAUAGCCGUGUUGCUUAUGUAUGAACCAGUUGAUACUCAAACCUCAGAAGAACAUGUGUGCUAAAUCCUGAAGAUCUUUGUGGUAUAUAUGGAUCAAAUUGCUCCCAAUGGAUUAUUGCAAUGGAGUAUUAGAAAGAAUGUGGCUAUCAUGAAGCC
rnacentral:lncRNA from 1 species